CACGUUGCCAGGACCAAGGUGCAGUACGGAGACUCAGUUUAUUGUGCUUCAGUGUUUAACCACCGACCACACCACACGGUGUCUGAUGUUCGUCUCAACACUUGACCCGCCGCUCCACUGGGCAGACUUCACGGAGGAAAAGUUACAGAAUGCUGGUACGAGAAUGACUAAAGUCGUCAACUUGCAACUCCAAGACCAGGGAGUGUGGCUGAGGGCUUGGUGCUGAGUGAUGCAAUAAGGAAAGCCGCUUAACAUUCAGAAUUAUCUUGAGCAUGAGGAACAUUAUGAAGGGACUGAACAACUUGAGGAGGCGAUGUUGCCUGAACCUUGAUCACUCACUUUUUUGCAUCACGUCCUGUCUGGAAAUCACACCAACCGAAAGAGUAUCUCACUGUUUUUCUGAAGCAAAACAACCAUUCAGUGUGAAACAAAAUAAACAGUAUGGAGAGUGUGGAGUAUAGUUAUGUAUAAACCUCUCGAGACGCAAUCAAUAAACUAGUAGGGUUACACAA